GGUCCCGUGUGGCUCAGUUGGUAGAGUAUGGCGCUUGUAAUGCCAAGGACCGUGGGUUCGAUUCCCACUGGGGCCA